CUAUUAUAUUGAUUGAAAUUAGACCUGCAUUAACAUGAUAAACAUCCCUAAGGAUGAAGUACUAUGAAAACAGUUGAUACAAAAUGUUCAUCAAGAAAAGUGGUCACCCAAAAAGCAGAUGUUUAUAUGUUCUGACCACUUUUGUUCUGGUUGCAUUGUCCAUACUGUUCUGUUCUCAAAAAGCAGACACUUAUAUGCUCUGACCACUUCUGUUCUGGCUUCAUUGUUCAUUGUCCAUAUGUUCUGGCUUCAUUGUCCAUACACAAUCUUUUUACUGAGCUAGAUCACCAUAUUUUUGACUCACCAGUUGGUGAAAAUCAUGUUAUACCGGGUGGCCCAAAAAAAAGUACUCCUGUUUGAUUCGUAAUAACAUCUAAACAAGUAUAGCUUUUAAAGAGAAAUAACUUGCAUCAAAUAGAGGAAGGACUAACUUAGACUUUGAUAUAUUACAGUUGUAUUUCACUUAAAAAUUCAUGGAGAUAUUAAUCUUUAAAUUCGGGAGGAUAUUUCUGGAUGUGUCUGAAAUAUGCAAAAAUCGGCGUAUCAAAUAUUAAUCAAGAUUUGCCCUACUGAAACAUGCACUAUUACCAGUAAAUAAAUGACACUUGACAAAUUGUUUAUUAUGAAACAAAGUAUUAUUAUAUCUACAAAAUACAAGCAAGAUUCAUUCGUCCGAAAUUCGCGUGUGUUCCUAGCACGAAUACGUUUCCUUAUUUCAUGAGACCACUGCAUCGCGAAGGAUCGUCAUUGGAUCGUUAGUAGUUCUGAAUUAGGGCAUGCUGUCACAACGGAAUUGUGAAGCUCUUCUAACUUCUGCAACGUUCUGAAAUCUUGUUAAGAACACCCAAACUCUUUUGCCGUUUCUUAAUCUUGGCAAGUUCAUG